UACGUAGGGGGCAAGCGUUGUCCGGAAUCAUUGGGCGUAAAGCGCGCGUAGGCGGCCCGGUAAGUCCGUUGUGAAAGUCAAAGGCUCAACCUUUGAACGCCGAUGGAUACUGCCGGGCUAGAGUCCGGAAGAGGCGAGUGGAAUUCCUGGUGUAGCGGUGGGAUGCGCAGAUAUCAGGAGGAACACCAACGGCGAAGGCAGCUCGCUAGGACGGUACUGACGCUAAGGCGCGAAAGCGUGGGGAGCGAACAGG
rnacentral:rRNA from 1 species